GACGAGGUACCUAUAUGCUAUGUAGCGAUAGCGACGAAAUAGCGCCCGCUAUUUUGUGUUUAGCGAUAAGAUACUAUAUGAAAACUAGUGAAAAGAUAGAGGGGUUAAAGGUUAAAAUCCAAAAAGUUACUUAAACCUAAAAAGCAAAAACACAGAACAAACGCAGCCGCUCUUUUCUCUUCUUCUUCUUCCUGACUUCCGGUAGGUUUCCGGCAGAAACUACAGCAUCGGAGCCGGAAUUCAUGGUCGGAAUCCCGCAAUAAUCACGCUAUGGAGUCGCUAAGUAACAUAUUGUGAGGUAUGGUCGAUUCGCUAUGAAGCGCGCGAUAGCGAACGCUAUGUUCGCUAUUGAUAACUAUGGCAACAGUUUAAAUCUCAAAAGCACAAACAACGAACCAAGCACAAGGACUUUCAAGCUCACUUAAACUGUUAUGAUGCCUACUUAAAGUAAUGUAAAAUAAAGAAAAAAUAAAAUAGUAUGUGCAAAACAGUAAGAAUGCGGGGUUUAUAAUUAUUUAGUAAAGCCUAGUAUAAGAGAUUAAGGAGGCUAUGUAUGGUAAGCAUGUGAGCUGUGGUGAAUAGGUUAAAUAGUCUUCUUUUGAGAAACUGAAGGCCAUGUCAGUUCGCAGUUGUCAAUAGCGAUCGCUACAAUCGCUAUAGCGAAUAGCAUGGCGUGUAGGCCCAUGCUCGCUAUAUUGUCUGUAACGAUAGAUAGCGGCCUUUAAUUUUAUUUUUAUUUUUUUUGUUUUUUAAUACAAAUAGCAAUUAAACAUAGCUAUAAAUAGCUGGAGUUUAGGUUUUUGUUAAAUAUACAUGUAAAAUAGCUUAUAUACCAAGGUAUUUUGAUAAAAUAUAC
rnacentral:lncRNA from 1 species